CUUAUACAGAGACAGGCGAAAGCAGUUUCCAAAAUUACCUAAAUGUAGAUUAGAAAUUCACGAGACAUUAAGACAAAUAGAUUUGAACACUAACAACAAUUGAAACUUAUUUUAACUUUUAAUUAGUCAAUGAUUUUGAUUCGGGAAUCGUUAUACUUUCAUGUUUCACCAACUUGGUAUGUCUAUGUAAUGAAAUGACUGAUAUUUUCAUAGAUGGCACAUUUAAAUCCUGUCCGAAAUUUUCUACCAACUCAGUUUAUUCGAUACAUGGAUGUAAAAAUGGUAACUACAUUCGUCUUGUAUUUGCGUUACUUCCACUUAAAUCCGAGGAAUGUUACACGAAACUGUUGGAUCGGCUUAUUGAUGUGUGCACUACCCGAAGAAUAACUUCCCGAGGUAGUUCAUAAUGACUUUGAAUGUGUAAUGCAUACUGCUGUUACGAAAACACGAAUAGUGCCGAGUCUUUUCAUGCCCACUUGAACGAGCAGUUUUACGCUAGCCAUCCUAACAUUUUUUGUUUGUUUUUAUCGAUGUGUUAUUGAAACUGCAAACAACAUCUUACAUAAAGAUGAGAACUCUAACU
rnacentral:lncRNA from 1 species